AAGCGGGCGAAUUUCGUGAAGCGUAGAGGGAGUUGGGGACCUGGACAAGUAGGAAGGGCGGAGGGCGUUGAAAGCUUUAGAGGGACGGGGCGGGGGCUCUCGCCCGCCCAGCUUGGUGCCUGCGCGUCGUAGGCGUUGUACAAAUGUUGGUCGAAUGUCGUUUCCGGGCAAUGAAAAGAGAGAGGAAUGAGGCCGAUGUGGAGGCACUGGUAAAGAAGAUUCCAGGGGACGUUGGAGGUCAAACACCUGAUCACUUAAAGUCAGACUGAGGCAGGGAGCCAAGAAUGGAAAAAAAAAUACGUGAUGAGAGGAGGACGCAAUGGGAAUAUCACACCCAGAGGAAAUUAGCACUUUGGGGAAGAAACUGCACCUGUCUUGCUUGGCUUUUACGGACUGUUAAAGUAAUGAAGAGAAUUUUUGGAACUGAAAAUAAACUUGUCUGUGAAGACAAUAUACUCAAUAUGAGGCAUACCAAUACCAACAGUCCUUUCUUUACCUCUCAAAUGAAUACAAGUUGCAGGUACAAUGAAAUGGGGGAAGAAAGUCUGAUUCCAGUGUUUGCUUUACAUCAGUAUUUCUUGCAAAAACAACUUUAUGACAAAAUAAUAACAGCAAAACAAAAAUAAUAGAAAUUCAAGGAAAUGAAGCUGCUUAUCACCUUAACUAUGAAAAAAUCUUUUUGUUUUUAUUAUUCAAGUUUCCUUCUAACAUUUUUUCAUGCAGUUGUAAUUAGGGACCAUACACGAAUGCUAUUUUUGAUAUGAUAUUGUAUAUGCUUUCCUAAUUGAUGUUCUAUAACUAUGAACAGAAUAUCAUGAAUUCAUUAAUAUGAUCAUCGUAAAGACUGUGAAAAACCCUGAAAACAUGUAUGAUAUCAAUUAAACUUGUAUCAUCAUGGAAAUAACUGAACUUUGAAUACAAAGAGCUGGAUUUAAAUCUA